CAGCAAGAUAGAGUUUGAUCCUGGCUCAGAACGAACGCUGGCGGCGUGCUUAACACAUGCAAGUCAGGGAGAAAGUCUCUUCGGGGAUGAUUAAACCGGCGCACGGGUGAGUAACACGUGAGUGACCUGCCUUUUAGACUGGAACAACUUACCGAAAGGUGAGCUAAUGCCGGAUGAGUUAUAUAAGUGCAUGUUUAUAUAGGAAAAGUUGGGGAGACCUGACGCUGAAAGAUGGACUCGCGUCCCAUUAGCUAGUUGGUAGGGUAAUGGCCUACCAAGGCGACGAUGGGUAGCCGGCCUGAGAGGGUGGCCGGCCACACUGGGACUGAGACACGGCCCAAACUCCUACGGGAGGCAGCA
rnacentral:rRNA from 1 species